CGGGGGAAGAGUGGAGGCAGAGUCCAGGCAAGCGCUGCGGGACAUCGGUACUGGAACAAAGGAAGUGACAGAAGAGGUUUUAACCCCUCCUGCUUAACGGGGGUGGAGAGGGCUUGACGGAGAGGGCACUAUAGUUUCACUUUAAUAAAGAUAAAUAUCUCCGUAAGGAUAACUGACAUUGCACCCCCUUUUUAUUAGGGCAUGAGGGCUUGACCCAACCGAAAAACUAAUAAUCAUAAAUCAAUUAGCACGGGAGCUAACAUUAUCAGUCAGCAUAAAGCCCAAAAGCUUGGGGUGUCCCAUUUUAUGCAACACAUAGUUACAGGAAUUAUCAAAACAACUUAAACAUUAGAGCUGUGGUGCAGCCUGCCUAUAACAAUUCCAUUCCACAGCUAGAUUGCUGGAACUGGGAGACAACCUGCCUGUAAUUAUUUACAUUAGGAUUUAACCAAGGACAUUAGCU